GUGCUCACUUCAGCAGCACAUAUACUAAAAUUAGAAUGAUACAGAGAAGAUUAGCAUGGCCCCUGUGCAAGGAUGACAUGCAAAUUCAUGAAGCAUUCCAUAUUUUU